AAAUAAAAGUAGAUAGAUAAUAUACAACCCCAAGCGUAGGGGUAUCCUUAACAGAUUUCUCUUUCCCUCCCUCCUUCCGUGGCACGCCCGAAGAUGGAUUUCGGCGCGAUUUACGGCCGCCAUAGCCGCCCCUGCAGAAGUCGUCGCCGCUGAUCAGAUCUCAACCCCGCACCGCGAUUCUGAGAUUGAUAGAUAACUGAAAGAUUUUAUUGGAAUUCAAGAGUUCCUGAUUCACUGAUGAGAAAUUUGCAAAUGAGAUCUCUAUUUCAAUUAUUACUAUUGCACAUCAAAGUAAGGCCACACUUUGCUAAAGUGUGCAGGGAAAAGGCUAAACUUUUGCGACAAGAUCGAGCUAGGGCAAGAAGAGGGGAAGGAGAAGAUCAAUUGUAGAAAUUCGAAAAGGGAAUCAGUUCGACUAAUAAUCUAAGGUACUCAAGAGUAGUUCGUUGAAGUUAGGGGAUAGCUUCAUAGCGUCCUUUUACCGUUGUUUAUAUUGAAGGGAGUCUUGCUCUGAUACGUAACAUCAGGGACAGGGUCGUUAUGUUCUAGAACUAUUAUGUUCACUUUGAAUAUUUGAAUUUGGUUUGCAUUUUGAUGAAUUACCUUUCAAAGAAUUUUGGAUGUUGAUGUUUUGAGUUAUAAUUCAUGAACCAUGAGGUUUAAUUGAUGUGUUAUGAAGAGUACCAAGGAUGUUUUAAAUUGUGAA